AUUUGUGAUGAAAUCUGUGUCAUCAUUAAAAAGCCAACUUUCUGUCACCAAAGCCAAUGAGAUUUUAAGGCAAAAUUUUGUCCCAAAUUGCUUCAUCACAUUGAGCCCCUCUCUCUCUUCGACUCUCUCUUUCACUUCGUCGAGCCAUGCUACCACGCCACCAUGCAACCAUCCCACCGUCGUCGUCACUCCAUGCCAUCAUCAUCAUCAUCGUCACUCCAUGCCACCGUCGUCAUCACUCUGCCACUGUCAUUGUCACUCCACCAUCAUGUGGGUCUGAUCUCUCUCUCCCUCUCUUAUGGUCGAUCUCUUUGCUUCCUCUAGGUCCACCACCAUCACCAUUGCUCCGCAUCCAUCGUCAUCACUCCAUUGAUGCCGUUGUAACUCCAUCGGAUUGCUCUCUCUCCCUCUCUCUCCAGAUCUCAGGUAUAGAUCUCUCUCUAUGAUUCUCUCUCUCUCAGUCCUUCUUCUUAUAGAUCCACCACCAUCACCAUUGCUGUGCCUCCGUCGUCGUCACUCUGCAGUCGCUGCCGUCCGCAUCCAUUACUGUCACUCCAGCACUCUCUCUUUUCCUUUCGAUACCCAUCUCUCUCUCUGUACCUCUCUCUCUCAUGUGUUCUCCAGCCACCCUGCACAGCCAUAGUUGG
rnacentral:lncRNA from 1 species